rnacentral:rRNA from 1 species
AUUAAAUGAGAGUUUGAUCCUGGCUCAGGACGAACGCUGGCGGCGUGCCUAAUACAUGCAAGUAGAACGCUGAAGACUUUAGCUUGCUAAAGUUGGAAGAGU